rnacentral:tRNA from 1 species
GUGAGCGUAGCUCAAUGGCAGAGCACUGGACUGUGGAUCCAGAUGUUGCGGGUUCGACACCCGUCGCUCACC